GACGAACCGUCCAAACGUUAUUCGGAAUCACUGGGCUUACAGAGUUCGUAGGCGGUUUGGCAAGUUAGAUGUGAAAUCCCUCGGCUUAACCGAGGAACUGCGUUUAAAACUGCCAGACUCGAGGUAGAUAGAGGAAAGCGGAACUGAUGGUGGAGCGGUGAAAUGCGUUGAUAUCAUCAGGAACACCGGUGGCGAAGGCGGCUUUCUGGGUCUUACCUGACGCUGAGGAACGAAAGCUAGGGGAGCGAACGGG
rnacentral:rRNA from 1 species